rnacentral:rRNA from 1 species
ACGGAGGAUCCGAGCGUUAUCCGGAUUUAUUGGGUUUAAAGGGUGCGCAGGCGGGAUGUUAAGUCGGCGGUGAAAUUUUGCGGCUCAACCGUAAAAGUGCCUUCGAAACUGGCAUUCUUGAGUGUAGAUGAAGUAGGCGGAAUUUGUGGUGUAGCGGUGAAAUGCAUAGAUAUCACGAGGAACUCCGAUUGCGCAGGCAGCUUACUAAGCUACAACUGACGCUCAUGCACGAAGGCGUGGGGAUCAAACAG